rnacentral:rRNA from 1 species
UACGGGGGGAGCAAGCGUUGUUCGGAUUUACUGGGCGUAAAGGGCGCGUAGGCGGCCACCGCAAGUCGACUGUGAAAUCUCCGGGCUUAACCCGGAAAGGUCAGCCGAUACUGCGGGGCUAGAGUGCAGAAGGGGCAACUGGAAUUCUCGGUGUAGCGGUGAAAUGCGUAGAUAUCGGGAGGAACAUCAGUGGCGAAGGCGGCUAUCUGGACCAACACUGACACUGAGGCACGAAAGCGUGGGUAGCAAACAGG